UUUUCCCAUCUUUUUUUUCAAAGCCAAGCGGCAAGGGCCGUUUAUUGCAGGUUGGAACCCGGACCUCCGCGCACUCUUGUCAGUGACGCUAAGAGGCCCCGAGCGAGGUUUUUCCAGCACUUUUAUAGACAGGCACAAACAGGUUAUGGGGAAGUUAGGGAUUUUUCGCGGUUACAGAGCUGUUAUUGUUUGACAUUUAAA